AUUCAUCCGUGGUUUAUGGUGAUUGCAUUGCUGGGCGUCUGGACAUCUGUAGCUGUCGUUUGGUUUGAUCUUGUUGACUAUGAGGAAGUUCUAGGAAAACUAGGAAUCUAUGAUGCUGAUGGUGAUGGAGAA
rnacentral:sRNA from 1 species